rnacentral:rRNA from 1 species
CCGUAGCCCAUCAGAAGGGGAUAACACUUGGAAACAGGUGCUAAUACCGCAUAACAGUUUAUGCCGCAUGGCAUAAGAGUGAAAGGCGCUUUCGGGUGUCGCUGAUGGAUGGACCCGCGGUGCAUUAGCUAGUUGGUGAGGUAACGGCUCACCAAGGCCACGAUGCAUAGCCGACCUGAGAGGGUGAUCGGCCACACUGGGACUGAGACACGGCCCAG